rnacentral:rRNA from 1 species
CCUACGGGUGGCAGCAGUGGGGAAUAUUGGGCAAUGGGCGCAAGCCUGACCCAGCAACGCCGCGUGAAGGAAGAAGGCUUUCGGGUUGUAAACUUCUUUUGUCAGGGACGAAGCAAGUGACGGUACCUGACCAAUCAGCAACGGCUAAAUACGUGCCAGCAGCCGCGGUAAUACGUAGGUGGCAAGCGUUAUCCGGAUUAACUGGGUGUAAAGGGCGUGUAGGCGGGGCUGCAAGUCAGAUGUGAAAAGCACGGGCGUAACCGGUGGCCUGCAUUUGAAACUGUAGUUCGAGAGUACUGGAGAGGCAGACGGAAUUCCUAGUGUAGCGGUGAAAUGCGUAGAUAUUAGGAGGAACACCAGUGGCGAAGGCGGGCUGCUGGACAGCAACUGACGCUGAGGCGCGAAAGCGUGGGGAGCAAACAGGAUUAGAUACCCUUGUAGUC